rnacentral:tRNA from 1 species
GGGCUAGUGGCGCAAUGGAUAACGCGUCUGACGGGAAUCAGGAGAUUCCAGGUUCGACUCCUGGCUAGCUCG